AAACCAGCACCUCAAGUGGUCAGGAUGAUUAUUGGGCCUAAAGCAUCCGUAGCCUGUUCUGUAAGUUUCCGGUUAAAUCCAUUAGCUCAACUAAUGGGCCGCCGAAAAUACUGCAAAACUAGGGAGUGGGAGAGGUAGACGGUACUCGGUAGGAAGGGGUAAAAUCCUUUGAUCUAUUGAUGACCACCUGUGGCGAAGGCGGUCUACCAGAACACGUUCGACGGUGAGGGAUGAAAGCUGGGGGAGCAAACCGGAUUAGAAACCCCAGUAGUCC
rnacentral:rRNA from 1 species